AGUGAACGCUGGCGGUAGGCCUAACACAUGCAAGUCGAACGGCAGCACAGUAAGAGCUUGCUCUUACGGGUGGCGAGUGGCGGUCGGGUGAGGAAUACAUCGGAAUCUACUUUUUCGUGGGGGAUAACGUAGGGAAACUUACGCUAAUACCGCAUACGACCUACGGGUGAAGGCAGGGGAUCUUCGGACCUUGCGCGAUUGAAUGAGCCGAUGUCGGAUUAGCUAGUUGGCGGGGUAAAGGCCCACCAAGGCGACGAUCCGUAGCUGGUCUGAGAGGAUGAUCAGCCACACUGGAACUGAGACACGGUCCAGACUCCUACGGGAGGCAGCAGUGGGGAAUAUUGGACAAUGGGCGCAAGCCUGAUCCAGCCAUACCGCGUGGGUGAAGAAGGCCUUCGGGUUGUAAAGCCCUUUUGUUGGGAAAGAAAAGCAGCAGGUUAAUACCCCGCUGUUCUGACGGUACCCAAAGAAUAAGCACCGGCUAACUUCGUG
rnacentral:rRNA from 1 species